rnacentral:rRNA from 1 species
UACGAAGGGGGCUAGCGUUGUUCGGAAUUACUGGGCGUAAAGCGCACGUAGGCGGAUUUGUAAGUCAGGGGUGAAAGUCCCGGGGACUCCAACCUCGGAACUGCCUUUGAUACUGCAAGUCUCGAGUCCGAUAGAGGUGAGUGGAAUUCCUAGUGUAGAGGUGAAAUUCGUAGAUAUUAGGAAGAACACCAGUGGCGAAGGCGGCUCACUGGAUCGGGUACUGACGCUGAGGUGCGAAAGCGUGGGGAGCAACAGGG